rnacentral:rRNA from 1 species
AUUGAACGCUGGCGGCAGGCCUAACACAUGCAAGUCGAACGAGUGGCGGACGGGUGAGUAAUGUCUGGGAAACUGCCCGAUGGAGGGGGAUCACUACUGGAAACGGUAGCUAAUACCGCAUACCAUCGGAUGUGCCCAGAUGGGAUUAGCUCGAAGGUGGGGUAACAGCUCACCUAGGCGACGAUCCCUAGCUGGUCUGCGAGGAUGACCAGCCAAACUGGAACUGAGACACGGUCCAGACUCCUACGGGAGGCAGAAGUGGGGAAUAUUGCACAAUGGGCGCAAGCCUGAUGCAGCCAUGCCGCGUGUAUGAAGAAGGCCGUCGGGUUGUAAAGUACUUUCAGCGAGGAGGCGUUAUUCGAAGAAGAAGCACCGGAUAACUCCGUACCAGGAGCCGCGGUAAUUC